UUGGUGUAGUUUUGGUUUUGGAUCUUUUCAGGAUUUCGAUAGGGUUUGGCCGAUUUUCGACUAAUCACAAUCUCGUGAUUUUCGGAAGGUUGUGCAAGGGAUAAUCAGUGAGUUGGAAGCACAAGGAGCUCUACCAAGGAGUAAUUCGAGGGUUUCUUCGCUUGCUACUUGCUGUGGACCAAGAUUUGUUGAACUUUUGUGGCAACUUUCAUUGCAUGCGUUAAGAGAGGUUCAUAGACGGACUUUUGCAUCAGAUGUUGCUUCUAACCCGUUGCUGCACCAUUGACUGAUGUUGCAUUUUCUCAUGCUGCUACACUACUUCCUGUAACAAAGGCUCGAAUUGCACUUGAAAGGAGGAGGUUUCUGAAAAAUGCAGAAACAGCUGUGCAGAGACAAGCUAUGUGGUCAAACUUGGCUUAUGAAAUGACUGCAGAGUUCCGUGGUCUUUGUACUGAGGAGGUAAGUAGAUAAUCUUUCAUUUGAACUCUUUCUGACCAUAUAUGUCAAAUUAUCAAUGUAAUUGGUGUGAUUUAGGAAAAAAUGGCAGUAAAUCAAUAGAAUUAAGACUGAAAAUGUGUUCAUGAUGUUGCUACAUCCCAUAUCUAUAGCAUUUGAAAAUGUCUUUGUCAGAUGGCAACGAAUGCCACCCACCACUCCAAAAAAAUACCCGUCAUGAACAACAAUACAUGUAGAAAACAAUUAUAUGUAUAUGUGUUCGACACUCGUUCUCGAAUCCGAAUAGCAUAACAUAGAGUAAAGCUAGAAUUGCAUAUUAUUAAACCUGUAUGAGAACUAGAGCAACCACAUCACCAGCAGGUGCAAGAUGGCCAAAUUGUGUAGGGAACAGAGUUGCUAGUAUUACAACAAUAGCUGUUACUGCAGGAAGGGUGCCCCAUUCAAUCUUGAACAAAUUUGUGAGGUAAGGG